CCUACGGGUGGCAGCAGUGAGGAAUAUUGGUCAAUGGGCGGAAGCCUGAACCAGCCAAGUAGCGUGCAGGAUGACUGUCCUACGGGUUGUAAACCGCUUUUAUACGGGAACAACGUCCCCCACGUGUGGGGUUUUGCAAGUACCUGAUGAAUAAGCAUCGGCUAAAUCCGUGCCAGCAGCCGCGGUAAUACGGAAGGUGCGGGCGUUAUCCGGAUUUAUUGGGUUUAAAGGGUGCGUAGGCGGGGUGUCAAGUGUGCUGUGAAAUGUGCGGGCUCGACCCGGGCCAAGCAGUGGAAACUGACGAUCUUGAGUCGGCGGUAAGCAGGCGGAAUGCGUGGUGUAGCGGUGAAAUGCUUAGAUAUGACGAAGAACCCCGAUUGCGAAGGCAGCAUACUGGAGCGCGACUGACGCUGAUGCUCGAAAGCGCGGGUAUCGAACAGGAUUAGAUACCCCAGUAGUC
rnacentral:rRNA from 1 species